rnacentral:rRNA from 1 species
AUACGGAGGGUGCAAGCGUUAAUCGGAAUUACUGGGCGUAAAGAGUACGUAGGUGGUUUAUUAAGUCAGGUGUGAAAGCCCCGGGCUCAACCUGGGAACUGCAUUUGAAACUGAUAAGCUAGAGUAUGGUAGAGGGGGGUAGAAUUUCUAGUGUAGCGGUGAAAUGCGUAGAUAUUAGAAGGAAUACCAGUGGCGAAGGCGGCCCCCUGGACCAAUACUGACACUGAGGUACGAAAGCGUGGGGAGCGAACAGGAUUAGAUACCCUAGUAGUCC